rnacentral:rRNA from 1 species
CUGUUUGCUCCCACGCUUUCGCGCCUCAGCGUCAGUUACAGACCAAAAAGCCGCCUUCGCCACUGGUGUUCCUCCACAUCUCUACGCAUUUCACCGCUACACGUGGAAUUCCGCUUUUCUCUUCUGCACUCGAGUUCCCCAGUUUCCAAUGACCCUCCACGGUUGAGCCGUGGGCUUUCACAUCAGACUUAAGAAACCGCCUGCGCGCGCUUUACGCCCAAUAAUUCCGGAUAACGCUUGCCACCUACGUAUUACCGCGGCUGCUGGCACGUAGUUAGCCGUGGCUUUCUGGUUAGGUACCGUCAAGGUACGAGCAGUUACUCUCGUACUUGUUCUUCCCUAACAACAGAGUUUUACGACCCGAAAGCCUUCAUCACUCACGCGGCGUUGCUCCGUCAGACUUUCGUCCAUUGCGGAAGAUUCCCUACUGCUGCCUCCCGUAGGAGUCUGGGCCGUGUCUCAGUCCCAGUGUGGCCGAUCACCCUCUCAGGUCGGCUAUGCAUCGUUGCCUUGGUGAGCCGUUACCUCACCAACUAGCUAAUGCACCGCGGGCCCAUCUGUAAGUGAUAGCCGAAACCAUCUUUCAAUCAUCUCCCAUGA